UCGGCUUGAAAGGCUCAAACGGUUCAAAGAAGGCCCAAAUCAUAUCCCAAAUCACUCAAUACUCAAUACUUCGUAUCAUAAAUUUCCUAAGGUGAGUCUUAAAACCGAACAUAGCAUGAUCUAGCACAAAUUAAUUCCAAAUUUAAAAUACAAAACGUUCAACCAAAGCAAUGCACAAAAUGUGAUUCCUAGCAAUAAUUCGCUUCUAAGUCCCGUUG
rnacentral:lncRNA from 1 species